AACAUAAAACAACACAUCAACUUUUAAACCAUUUUGUGAAUCCCAAAUAAUCUAGAGAUCUUCGGAAGGUUCUAAGUUUAAAAUAUUAAAGCUAAACGCAAGGAAAAUUGAACAAAGAAUGCAUGAAAUUCAGUGUUCUCUUUGAGUGUUCUAUCAGCCGUUUGUUUUUCUGCAUUUUUCAGCUUUUUCAAAUCUUUCCAAAUAUGCCUUGAUAGUGAAGAAACAAUGCCCUUUAUAGGAAAUUAUAGGGCAGUAGAAAUGAGUCUAUGUUAUUUGCCCUUUAAUCCUUUUCCAAUUUUUAUAUAGUUACUUGGCCCCUAUUUUAAAAAUCUAUUUGUUAAAAUAGCACCAAACCUACCUUCCAAGAAUCUUCCUAAGUUAGUUAUAUAAGAUUCCUUUACCUAACUUCCCCAAACUACCCUUCAAGACUCUGUUAAUUACCUCUGGAACCAAAAGGGUCAAAUUAACCCAAGGCCUAAAACAUAAUGAACGGGUUGCCCCUUGAAAGUGGGUCAAAAUUAAC
rnacentral:lncRNA from 1 species